UACGGAGGGAGCUAGCGUUAUUCGGAAUUACUGGGCGUAAAGCGUGCGCAGGCGGUUUUGUAAGUCUGUCGUGAAAUCCCCGGGCUCAACCUGGGAAUUGCGAUGGAGACUGCAAGGCUAGAAUCUGGCAGAGGGGGGUAGAAUUCCACGUGUAGCAGUGAAAUGCGUAGAGAUGUGGAGGAACACCGAUGGCGCAAGGCAGCCCCCUGGGUCAAGAUUGACGCUCAUGCACGAAAGGCGUG
rnacentral:rRNA from 1 species